GGACCGGAGAAACGCGGCCCAUAUUUUUUACAAGCCGCAGCUACUAAAUUGUGAUUUAAACUCAAUAAUAUCGUAGCCCAUGAUUUUACUCAAGACAAGAGUUG
rnacentral:rRNA from 1 species